rnacentral:tRNA from 1 species
GCACCUUUAGCUCAGUUGGCCAGAGCAAUUGACUCUUAAUCAAUGGGUCGUGGGUUCGAGUCCCACAAGGUGUACCA